rnacentral:tRNA from 1 species
CUGCCCCUGAUGUCAAUGGUAGCAUGCAUGGCUGUAGACCAUGAUGAGGGAGUUCGAAUCUCCCGGGGCAGA